UACCUGGUUGAUCCUGCCAGUAGUCAUAUGCUUGUCUCAAAGAUUAAGCCAUGCAAGUCUAAGUACGAGCUCUCGUACAGUGAAACUGCGAAUGGCUCAUUAAAUCAGUUAUGGUUCAUUUGAUCGUACAGUUUAC
rnacentral:ncRNA from 1 species